CCGAGUUUACAACUCCCAAACCCCUGUGAACAUAGCCACUUGUUGCCUCGGCGGAUCAGCCCGCUCCCGGUAAAACGGGACGGCCCGCCAGAGGACCCCUAAACUCUGUUUCUAUAUGUAACUUCUGAGUAAAACCAUAAAUAAAUCA
rnacentral:misc_RNA from 1 species